GCUUGAGUCUGAAAGCCUGUUUGUUUGAAUCUAGCAAUUAUGAUGUUGGCGAGUGUCGAGAUAUUAGAAGAGGCAGUUAAAAAUAGUAAAUGUCAGAUUUACUGAAAUCUCUCAUGUUUCUAAUUCUAGACUAAGACUAUUGCAUCAUUUCCUCUGUGAUAGAAAGGGGUUAGGUGGAACUAUCCAUACCAUCUUCCCUUUUGCAUUAUAAGUAUGCCCACAAAGCUCUCAGGACUUCUCUGCAGAAUGUCUCCAAUAACUUAUCUAGCUAUUGUGUGUAAAGUUCUCUUAUAGCUUUUCUUUUUUUUUCUUUUUCUUUUUGUGAUGUGUGACUUUUCUGGUGGUUUAUUGUAUUUGUGAAAUGCUACUUCUCUGCUAAGUAAAAUACCCUAUUGUUUGUUCUAACAGCAAAUUGGGUAUCUAAUGGAUCCAACUUAAGUGAAGCCCAUAAAAUUUUCAGUAAAUAUUUUACAGGUUAAGAAUUGUAUGCGUUGAUAUUUACAUGAUGGUAGGUAAUGGUUUUAAAAGCCUUCUUGCCAUGUGCAGAUGAGUGAUGCAGUCUUAAAUUGCCUGAGUGCUUACAUCUUGUAUAUUGUCAUUUGGCUAGCAAAUAGAAACUGUAGAUAAAGAAGUUUUAUAUAUUUAAAAUGGCAGAAAUAAACUGAGCUGAAUGGAUUUUCCUUUUAAAAUCUCUAGGCUUUACUAAUUACUAUUAUUAAGAAUUUAUAUGGUACUUUGUGUUUGCAAAUACUGUACAGGCAGCAAUUUACCUGGGAUAAUUCUUGCUAUUAUUUUCACCAUUUUAUAUGUUGGUAAAGCUAACAAGCAAAAAUUAAAUCUUCUUGUGAUGUGUGUGUGUGUGUGUGUGUGUGUGUAUUUUAAGGGCAUGGCAAAUUCCUGAUGAAAAUAAUGAGACUUUCUUCUCAACCCACUGUGGCUUUCGUGGUAAUUCAGUUGAAAUAAUAGUAAAAAUUAAUCAGUAACUUCAGAUUUCAAUAGAACAUAAUGCUAGAACACUUGGUGAUAAUUUUUGCAUGUAUUCAACAUUUGGAGGCAUACCCAUUUUGUCCAGUUUCAGUCCUUGGGGAAAGAUGUUACCUCAGUGUCAUUUAUGGCUCGCUUGUUCAUUGGCAAUAUAGUAACAUGAUUGGUGUACCUCUUUAGGAUUUAAAAAACUUUUUUUUAUUAAAGUAUGGUUGAUUUACAGUAUAGCAAAGUUACCCAGUCACACACACACACACACACACACACACACACACACUCACACUCACACACACAUAUAUAUACAGACACACUCAUUCUUUUUCUUUUAUUUUUGAUCAUGGCUAUAUCUCAAGAGAUUGGAUAUAGUUCCCUGUGCCAUACAGCAGGACUUCAUUGCUUAGCCAUUCUUUUAGGAUUUUUAUUAAACAUGUACUAAUUAAUUCCUAAUUUGGCUCUGGCAUUGCUCAAGGGAGGGAGAGCAAAAAUUUAAGUUCCAGAGGAGCCAUUUCUUUCUAGGGAUACAGAUUCAUAAGCAACCACAGUUAAGGAUGGUGAACUGAAUAAUGGUGAUGAGUGCAUCUGGCAAAUCAAGAGUUGCUGUAGGAAAUGAGGCAACAGAAUGAUUCUUUCUAAACCACGGAAGCAGAAUUUGUAUUUGAUAAGUAUGGAUGUAGUCAUGCUUGCUAUUUGCCAAGUAUUGUCUGAAGAACUUUACUCAUAUUAACUCAGUUCUCAUAAGAUUCUCCGCAGGAAGUACUAUCGGUAUUUCCAUUUGUGGUUAGGGUUCCAAGGCACAGGGAGACUAAGAAACAUGCCCAAGUCACAAAGUUAACAAAUAUCAGAGGCAUGAUUCAGACUCAGGCUGUUUGGUGUAACUGUCCUUACUUCUAACCACUAUUCUAUGUUACCUAAGCAUUUGUGACACAAACACAAGAAUGCAAUUUAUUUUCAUCAUAUUUCUCAAUUACAGAUGUAUAUGUUUACAAUUUAUUUUGAUUUGAAAUAAACAUUUUGAGUUUUAUGUAAAUCCAGUAGAGGACUUGAAGACACCCCCAGAAUAUUUUCAAAUAGAUGUUAGGAAUCAAAGAGAACAGAGCUGAUAUCUUACAUGUGCACUAGGCCUAUGAGUUCAAGUAUAAAAAACUGUCUUCAUUUCAGCAAAGAAAUAUGGUCUCAUUUUUCUUGCUUUGGUGGCCUUCCUGUCUCUCCUUUAUAUUCCUACUUUAUACAGAGAAAUGAAUGUAAGAAUAUUUCACUGUCUUCUUGAUGCUACAAGAAAAACAUCAGCUCAAGUAUGAUGCGGAGUGACAGCCUGUGCUCAGCAUGAGUGUCACGAAACGGUAGCGUGACAGAGGCAUCUUGACUCUGCAGAUUUUUGCAGUGGACAGUUACAGGUCUGAUGUGGAUUUCCUGUGCCCUGAAAGAGGAGAGAAAUGACAUACAGCCCCACACUCACAAUACAAAUACCUAUCUUGAAUUGUGAUUUUCUUUAGUUAGCGAUAGCUUGAGAAAGCAAACAGAAACAACAGUCAACCCACUGUUAGGACCGAUACUGUGUUAACCAAUAUAAACCUGGCUGCAGGCUGAGCUUCAAAGUCUGGACCUUGUCAAAGCAAGAGUGAAAUCAGGCAACUGAAAUUGGAGGCACACACCAGGGCACCUGACGUUGAAGUGAAUGGAAUUCGUUUGUUUUCUCUUCUGCCAGGAGACACUAAUGGCACACCUCAGUGUCUGAAACGUCAGAUAUCCUCCUCCUUGUGUCCAAGUCUGUAUCUAAUAGAAUGGGCUAGUCUGUGGCAAGAAAACAAAUUGACACCACAGAGGCUUAUUUCUGGAAAAACCAUUUGUCUGUGGAUCGUUGGCUGGGCAUUACGUCUGGGAUUACAGAGUAGCAACUGUCUCAGUUAUGGUGAGUGAGUCACUCACAGGGAGAACAGGAGAGAACCUUUCUCCUUAGUUAAAUGUUCUGCCAUUUAUUUGGUCCAAACAGACACACAGCAUCUCCUAGUUACACACAAAAACGAAACAAACAAACAAAACAGGGCAUGGGGAAUUCUUGUAGGGAGCAGGGAAAAAGGUAGAUAUAUAUUUGGGUAAAAACUCAAUUACUUUUAGAUUGACCACUCAAUGAAAGACAGGCUACUCCUAAUCAAUUAAUAGGCCAAACACAUUAUGAUUGGUUAGAUUAAGCUUAAAGAAAGUCACUUGCGACUUCUACCUCCCAUUAGUAAAUACGGCCCGUACUUAUUCUAGUAGUAUUCUAUCCUAAUUAUUUUAGUGGGAGUGAGAGGAACUUUUAUACGAUGAUUCUUGUUUGCCUUCUUCCUCUCACGUAAAAGUGGGUACGAUCAGAAUCCCAAUACAUUCAUUACUGUAAGAGGCAUCACCAGCUAUUUUAUUGACAUUUCUAAAUGAGAAAUGAGAAAAGGCCAAGAUUAACUAGAUUCAAAGGUAUUUAAUAUCAGAAAUUAUAUUCAAAUAGGGCUUUGGAAGCAUUUACUGUUGUCUGUAAAGGACUUACUCUUAGGUAUCUAUUGAAACAGAUAUUAUUUUUGCACAAAAUAGGAGCUGUGUUUAAUGGCAGAGUCAAGAAAGUCAUACCAUAUUGAGACUAUACUAGUGGUGUGAACCACAUAAAAUGAGAGACAUGAACAAAAAACAGGGAAACAUAGUAAAAGAGAGGUGGUCAUGCAAUGCUAUGCAGAUCCAGAGAUGGCUAAAAAUGAAAAGCUUUUGCCUGAUGGAGCAACAGUGAAGUGAGCUCUUGGUAUAUGUGAUAUUCCAAAAAACACCCUCAAACACAUAAUCUGUGUCUAUAUGGCAAAGGCAAACAAGGUCAUAAAAAUUUGAAAUGUACGCAGUGUUCAGCUGACAAGAUGUUUUUAUUUAUCACUGGAGGUUCAUGCCAGGUGUCAUCUGUAGGACACUAUGCCUGGAAGCCUGCGGUAAAAAUUCUUAAUUUUCCAUUCCUUAAAGUAAUAUUUUCUCUUUUUUCAGCAUUGCCUCAGCACUUACUUAAAUUUCUGCCAAAGCACCUUUCAAAUAUAACUUGGGUUGUGCUUACUUGUGCCUGUAUCUCACAAAAAGAAAGGAGAAAGAAAACCCCACAUCACCAGCUCUGAGAGCACAGGGGUGUGCCUUAUUUGUUUUGGGAAUUACCCACAUUGACUAUCAUAUUAUAUGCUCUAAAUAGCUGUCUGGAGUGCAGCUGAAUUUGUCUGUAAUCCCUUCUUCCACCAGGGGAAGCACAUUAGUUUAACACUACAGAGUGGUAAAUGUGAAUUAUGUUUUAUUUAGUGUGAAGUUCACCAGUUUACAUAGGUGAUGGAAAUGUAACAGUGAGGAACUUACCUCAGGUACCACGCAUUGCCUACUUAUAAAUAAAUUCUAAAUACAGAGAGAACAGCAUCUUCCAAAGUGUUAGCCUUUCUCAAAAUAAACCCUAUGGAGUAAUAAAGCAUAGUGAGCACUUGAAAGUGGAGAAGAGAUAUGAAGUUUUUUAUUUUUCCCAAGAAAUAAAGAGCUUUAAUACAUUUCCGAAUCUUUAUCACACUGUUUGGUUAAACAGUUUCUGUAGCAGAAGAAAAAUCUGAUGUUCAGGUUAUCAAUUUUUUUUUUACUUUAAAAACAUAUCUGUUUUCCACAUGACCAUCAAAAAGCUUAAUUGUAAGAAUCGGUUUUUUGCUGUGGAAUAACGGAUAUUCAGUAUGAGUAAAAGAAAGUCUAGAAAAACUCCCAUUAGUUAUGUUCCACAAGGAGUCAUC
rnacentral:lncRNA from 1 species